UUAUGCUGAUAAGAGCGUAUGGUGGAUGCCUUGGCACUAAGAGCCGAUGAAAGACGUGAUAAGCUGCGAAAAGCUUCGGGGAGGAGCAAAUAUCCUUUGAUCCGGAGAUUUCUGAAUGGGGAAACCUACUUGAGCAAACCUCAAGUAUCCUUAAGCCAAUACAUAACUUAAGGAAGGGAACCCGGUGAACUGAAACAUCUAAGUAGCCGGAGGAAGAGAAAACAACAUGUGAUUCUGUGAGUAGCGGCGAGCGAAAACGGAAGAGCCCAAACCAGCGUGCGUGCAUGCUGGGGUUCGGACCGCGGAAUUGAUUCAACGAGUUUAGCAGAACGGUUUUGGGAAAGCCGGCCAGAGAGGGUGAAAGCCCCGUAAGCGAAAGACGAGUUGACAUGGCGGGAUCCAGAGUACCACGAGACACGUGGAACCUUGUGGGAAGAUGCGGGGACCACCCCGUAAGGCUAAAUACUACUUAGUGACCGAUAGCGCAUAGUACUGUGAAGGAAAGGUGAAAAGGACCCCGGGAGGGGAGUGAAAAAGAACCUGAAACCAUAUGUUUACAAGCUGUGGAAGAGCUUUAUAUGCUCAACCGCGUACUUUUUGUAGAACGGUCCGGCGAGUUACGCUGGCUGGCGAGGUUAAGGACUAAAGGUCCGGAGCCGAAGGGAAACCAAGUCUGAACAGGGCGCAUAGUCAGUCGGAGUAGACCCGAAACCGGGUGAUCUAUCCAUGUCCAGGUUGAAGUUGCCGUAAAAGGCAAUGGAGGACCGAACCCACAUCCGUUGAAAAGGGUGGGGAUGAGGUGUGGAUAGGGGAGAAAUUCCAAUCGAACCCGGAGAUAGCUGGUUCUCCUCGAAAUAGCUUUAGGGCUAGCCUCAUACGAGUCUUGCGGAGGUAGAGCACUGAAUUCCUAAGGGGGCGUCAAAGCUUACUAAGGGAUAUCAAACUCCGAAUGCCGUGUAGAUGAUGUAUGGGAGUCAGACGAUCCGAGAUAAGUUGGGUGGUCAAAAGGGAAAGAGCCCAGACCAACAGCUAAGGCCCCAAAAUGUGUGUUAAGUGGAAAAGGAUGUGGGAUUUCGAAGACAACUAGGAUGUUGGCUCAGAAGCAGCCAUUCAUUCAAAGAGUGCGUAAUAGCUCACUAGUCGAGAGGUCCUGCGCCGAAAAUGUCCGGGGCUAAAACACACUGCCGAAGCUUUGGAAUUGAAUUAAUUCAAUUGGUAGAGGAGCAUUCUUAAAGGGACGAAGCAGUACCGUAAGGAGCUGUGGACUUUUAAGAAGAGAGAAUGCCGGAAUGAGUAGCGAGAGGAAGGUGGGAAUCCUUCCGGCCGAAUAUCUAAGGUUUCCAGAGUAAAGCUGAUCUGCUCUGGGUAAGUCGGGGCCUAAGGCGAGGUCGAAAGACGUAGUCGAUGGAUAACAGGUUGAAAUUCCUGUACUAUCCUGUAACAGAACUGUGGGGACACAGGCAGAGAGCGUGAGCCGGGAAUGGAAAGACCGGUACAAGCGAGGUAGGAGAAGAGUUGGCAAAUCCGCUCUUUAAUCUGAAGACGUGAUGUGGACUGAAAAUAAGUAGGGAAGCACGUGAGCUGACUGUCAAGAAAAGCCGCUAUUGUUUGCAGGAUACCCGUACCGUAAACCGACACAGGUGGAUGAGGAGAGAAUCCUAAGGCCGACGGGAGAAGCAUUGUUAAGGAACUCGGCAAAAUGACUCCGUAACUUCGGGAGAAGGAGUGCCAGUAAGAUGGCCGCAGAGAAUUGGCCCAAGCAACUGUUUAGCAAAAACACAGGUCUAUGCAAAACCGAAAGGUGAGGUAUAUGGGCUGACGCCUGCCCGGUGCUGGAAGGUUAAGGGGAGAGGUUAGCGCAAGCGAAGCUUUGAACUUAAGCCCCAGUAAACGGCGGCCGUAACUAUAACGGUCCUAAGGUAGCGAAAUUCCUUGUCGGGUAAGUUCCGACCCGCACGAAAGGCGUAAUGAUUUGGGCACUGUCUCAACAAUGCACCCGGUGAAAUUGAAAUACCAGUGAAGAUGCUGGUUACCUGCGCCAGGACGGAAAGACCCCAUGGAGCUUUACUCCAGCUUGAUACUGGGAUUCGGUAUUGCAUGUACAG
rnacentral:rRNA from 1 species